rnacentral:tRNA from 1 species
GCCUCCGUAGCUCAGUGGUAGAGCACUCGCCUUGUAAGCGAAAGGUCGUCAGUUCAAUCCUGACCGGGGGCUCCA